UGCCAGCCGCCGCGGUAAUACGGAGGAUGCAAGCGUUAUCCGGAUUUAUUGGGUUUAAAGGGUGCGUAGGCGGAAUAAUAAGUCAGUUGUGAAAGUUUGCGGCUCAACCGUAAAAUUGCAGUUGAUACUGUUAUUCUUGAGUGUACAUAAGGUAGGCGGAAUUCGUGGUGUAGCGGUGAAAUGCUUAGAUAUCACGAAGAACUCCAAUUGCGAAGGCAGCUUACCGGGGUACAACUGACGCUGAGGCACGAAAGUGUGGGUAUCAAACAGGAUUAGAUA
rnacentral:rRNA from 1 species